rnacentral:rRNA from 1 species
AGUGAACGCUGGCGGUAGGCCUAACACAUGCAAGUCGAACGGCAGCACAGUAAGAGCUUGCUCUUACGGGUGGCGAGUGGCGGACGGGUGAGGAAUACAUCGGAAUCUACUUUUUCGUGGGGGAUAACGUAGGGAAACUUACGCUAAUACCGCAUACGACCUACGGGUGAAAGCAGGGGAUCUUCGGACCUUGCGCGAUUGAAUGAGCCGAUGUCGGAUUAGCUAGUUGGCGGGGUAAAGGCCCACCAAGGCGACGAUCCGUAGCUGGUCUGAGAGGAUGAUCAGCCACACUGGAACGGAGACACGGACCAGACUCCUACGGGAGGCAGCAGUGGGGAAUAUUGGACAAUGGGCGCAAGCCUGAUCCAGCCAUACCGCGUGGGUGAAGAAGGCCUUCGGGUUGUAAAGCCCUUUUGUUGGGAAAGAAAAGCAGCAGGUUAAUACCCCGCUGUUCUGACGGUACCCAAAGAAUAAGCACCGGCUAACUUCGUG